GAUGAACGCUGGCGGCGUGCCUAAUACAUGCAAGUCGAGCGAACGGACGAGAAGCUUUCUUCUCUGAUGUUAGCGGCGGACGGGUGAGUAACACGUGGAUAACCUACCUAUAAGACUGGGAUAACUUCGGGAAACCGUAGCUAAUACUGGAUAAUAUUUUGAACCGCAUGGUUCAAAAGUGAAAGACGGUCUUGCUGUCACUUAUAGAUGGAUCCGCGCUGCAUUAGCUAGUUGGUAAGGUAACGGCUUACCAAGGCAACGAUGCAUAGCCGACCUGAGAGGGUGAUCGGCCACACUGGAACUGAGACACGGUCCAGACUCCUACGGGAGGCAGCAGUAGGGAAUCUUCCGCAAUGGGCGAAAGCCUGACGGAGCAACGCCGCGUGAGUGAUGAAGGUCUUCGGAUCGUAAAACUCUGUUAUUAGGGAAGAACAUAUGUGUAAGUAACUGUGCACAUCUUGACGGUACCUAAUCAGAAAGCCACGGCUAACUACGUG
rnacentral:rRNA from 1 species